rnacentral:rRNA from 1 species
AGAGUUUGAUCAUGGCUCAGGACGAACGCUUGCGGCGUGCCUAAGAAAUGCAAGUCGAACGGACAUCCGAGCAAUCGGGUGUUAGUGGCGAACGGUCGCGUAACACGUAGGCAACCUGCCCAGAAGUGGGGGACAACAGCCUGAAAGGGCUGCUAAUACCGCAUGUGGCCGCUUGGUGGCAUCACCGAGUGUCUAAAGCUUUAUGCGCUUCUGGAUGGGCUUGCGGCCUAUCAGGUAGUUGGUGGGGUAAUGGCCUACCAAGCCGACGACGGGUAGCUGGUCUGAGAGGACGAUCAGCCGGAUUGGGACUGAGAUACGGCCCAGACUCCUACGGGGGGCAGCAAUUAGGAAUCUUGCGCAAUGGGGGCAACCCUGACGCAGCGACGCCGCGUGCGGGAUGAAGGCAUUCGUGUCGUAAACCGCUUUUGACAGGGAAGAAGAAUUUGACGGUACCUGUCGAAUAAGCCCCGGCUAACUACGUGCCAGCAGCCGCGGUAAUACGUAGGGGGCGAGCGUUGUCCGAAGUUACUGGGCGUAAAGCGCGCGUAGGCGGUCAUUUAAGUUCGGGGUGAAAGGUUCAGCGCUCAACGCGAACAGUGCCUUGAAUACUGGGUGACUUGAGUUCGGGAGAGGGCAGUGGAAUUCCUGGUGUAGCGGUGAAAUGCGUAGAUAUCAGGAGGAACACCGAUGGCGAAGGCAGCUGCCUGGCCUAGAACUGACGCUGAGGUGCGAAAGCGUGGGGAGCGAACGGGAUUAGAUACCCCCGUAGUCC